rnacentral:rRNA from 1 species
AGAGUUUGAUCCUGGCUCAGAACGAACGCUGGCGGCAUGGAUUAGGCAUGCAAGUUGAACGAACCACUUCGGUGGAGAGUAGCGGAAGGGUGAGGAACGCGUGAGUAAUCUGCCCCCUAGUUGGGAAUAACAGUUGGAAACGACUGCUAAUACCGAAUGUGGCUUCAAUCCUGCAUGGGAUAGAGGCUAAAGAUUUAUCGCUAGGGGAUGAGCUCGCGUCCCAUUAGGUAGUUGGUGAGGUAACGGCCCACCAAGCCGACGAUGGGUAGCUGGUCUGAGAGGAUGGUCAGCCACACUGGGACUGAGACACUGCCCAGACUCCUACGGGAGGCUGCAGUCGAGAAUCUUGGGCAAUGCGCGAAAGCGUGACCCAGCAAUGCCGCGUGUGUGAUGAAGGCCUUCGGGUCGUAAAGCACUGUCUCCCGUGACGAAAUUUGACGGUAGCGGGGAAGGAAGCCACGGCUAACUACGUGCCAGCAGCCGCGGUAAUACGUAGGUGGCGAGCGUUGUUCGGAUUUAUUGGGCGUAAAGGGUCUGUAGGAGGUUCGUUAAAUACGAGGUGAAAUCCCGAAGCUCAACUUCGGAACUGCCUUGUAGACUGACGGACUAGAGUAUCGGAGAGGUAAGCGGAAUACCAGGUGUAGCGGUGGAAUGCGUAGAUAUCUGGUAGAACACCAAUAGCGAAGGCAGCUUGCUGGACGGAAACUGACUCUGAAAGACGAAAGCAUGGGGAGCAAACAGGAUUAGAUACCCUGGUAGUCCAUGCCGUAAACGUUGUCAACUUGAUGUGGGGGGAUUUAGUCCUCUCCGUAUCGAAGCUAACGCGAUAAGUUGACCGCCUGGGGACUACGGCCGCAAGGCUAAAACUCAAAGGAAUUGACGGGGGCCCGCACAAGCGGUGGAGUAUGUGGCUUAAUUCGAUGCAACGCGAAGAACCUUA